rnacentral:rRNA from 1 species
UACGGAGGGAGCUAGCGUUGUUCGGAAUUACUGGGCGUAAAGGGCGCGGUAGGCGGCCUGUUAAGUCGAACGGUGAAAAUCCCCGGGCUCAACCCGGGAACUGCGUCCGAUACUGGCAGGCUUGAAUCCGGGAGAGGGAUGGCGGAAUUCCAGGUGUAGCGGUGAAAUGCGUAGAUAUCUGGAGGAACACCGGGUGGCGAAGGCGGCAUCC